rfam:Microbial mat metagenome hsmat06_BHWP651_x1, whole genome shotgun sequence.
CCUGAUAUGUUCCUAUCAGACUCUAGGAUGACAUGCUACCUUUGCGCAGAUGAAGGGGUGUGAAGCUCAUCCGACAAUGUACCGAAAUGGGUCAAAGCUGCAAGGUAGAGACCCUUCCGGAAAUCCCGUCCGGUUAAGGGC